rnacentral:rRNA from 1 species
CUUGGUCAUUUAGAGGAAGUAAAAGUCGUAACAAGGUUUCCGUAGGUGAACCUGCGGAAGGAUCAUUACCUAGAGUUGUAGGCUUUGCCUGCUAUCUCUUACCCAUGUCUUUUGAGUACCUUACGUUUCCUCGGUGGGUUCGCCCACCGAUUGGACAAAUUCAAACCCUUUGCAGUUGAAAUCAGCGUCUGAAAAAACUUAAUAGUUACAACUUUCAACAACGGAUCUCUUGGUUCUGGCAUCGAUGAAGAACGCAGCGAAAUGCGAUAAGUAGUGUGAAUUGCAGAAUUCAGUGAAUCAUCGAAUCUUUGAACGCACAUUGCGCCCCUUGGUAUUCCAUGGGGCAUGCCUGUUCGAGCGUCAUUUGUACCUUCAAGCUCUGCUUGGUGUUGGGUGUUUGUCUCCUGUAGACUCGCCUCAAAACAAUUGGCAGCCGGCGUAUUGAUUUCGGAGCGCAGUACAUCUCGCGCUUUGCACUCAUAACGACGACAUCCAAAAGUACAUUUUUACACUCUU